GACGAACGCUGGCGGCGUGCUUAACACAUGCAAGUCGAACGAAGUGGCGAACGGGUGAGUAAUACGUGGGUAACCUGCCCUCCUCUAUGGGAUAAGCCUUGGAAACGGGGUCUAAUACCGAAUACAGGGGGAUGGGCUCGCGGUGUAUCAGCUUGUUGGUGGGGUGAUGGCCUACCAAGGCGGUGACGGGUAGCCGGCCUGCGAGGGUGACCGGCCACAGUGGGACUGCGAUACGGCCCAGACUCCUACGGGAGGCAGCAGUGGGGGAGUUUGCACAAUGGGGGAAAGCCUGAUGCAGGGACGCCGCGUGGGUGAUGAAGGCGUUCGGGUUGUAAACCGUGUUCGAACUCGAACGGGUAGGUGGAGAAGAAGCGCCGGCUAACUACGUGCCAGCAGCCGCGGUAAUUC
rnacentral:rRNA from 1 species